rnacentral:rRNA from 1 species
CCUACGGGUGGCAGCAGUGAGGAAUAUUGGUCAAUGGCCGAGAGUCUGAACCAGCCAAGUCGCGUGAAGGAUGACUGCCCUAUGGGUUGUAAACCUCUUUUAUAAAGGAAUAAAACGUGCUACGUGUACCAUUCUGCCUGUACUUUAUGAAUAAGCAUCGGCUAACUCCGUGCCAGCAGCCGCGGUAAUACGGAGGAUCCGAGCGUUAUCCGGAUUUAUUGGGUUUAAAGGGAGCGUAGACGGGUUGUUAAGUCAGUUGUGAAAGUUUGCGGCUCAACCGUAAAAUUGCAGUUGAUACUGGCAGUCUUGAGUACAGUAGAGGUAGGCGGAAUUCGUGGUGUAGCGGUGAAAUGCUUAGAUAUCACGAAGAACCCCGAUUGCGAAGGCAGCCUACUGGACUGUAACUGACAUUGAUGCUCGAAAGUGUGGGUAUCAAACAGGAUUAGAUACCCCUGUAGUC